rnacentral:rRNA from 1 species
UCGAGAAUCAUUCGCAAUGGGCGAAAGCCUGACGAUGCGACGCCGUGUGAGCGAUGAAGGCCUUAGGGUCGUAAAGCUCUUUCGCUUGGGAACAAGAGAAGCUGGCUAAUAUCCAGCGGAUUUGAGGGUACCAGGUAAAGAAGCACCGGCUAACUCCGUGCCAGCAGCUGCGGUAAUACGGAGGGUGCAAGCAUUAAUCGGAUUUAUUGGGCGUAAAGGGCGCGUAGGCGGAAAGAUAAGUCAGAUGUGAAAUCCCGGGGCUCAACCUCGGAACAGCAUUUGAAACUAUCUUUCUAGAGGGUAGGCGGAGAAAACGGAAUUCCACAAGUAGCGGUGAAAUGCGUAGAUAUGUGGAAGAACACCGGUGGCGAAGGCGGUUUUCUAGCUUACUCCUGACGCUGAGGCGCGAAAGCAAGGGGAUCAAACAGGAUUAGAUACCCCCGUAGUCC